GAGGAAUACCGGUGGCGAAGGCGGCCCCCUGGACAAAGACUGACGCUCAGGUGCGAAAGCGUGGGGAGCAACCAGGAUUAGAUACCCUGGUAGUCCACGCCGUAAACGAUGUCGACUUGGAGGUUGUGCCCUUGAGGCGUGGCUUCCGGAGCUAACGCGUUAAGUCGACCGCCUGGGGAGUACGGCCGCAAGGUUAAAACUCAAAUGAAUUGACGGGGGCCCGCACAAGCGGUGGAGCAUGUGGUUUAAUUCGAUGCAACGCGAAGAACCUUACCUACUCUUGACAUCCAGAGAACUUUCCAGAGAUGGAUUGGUGCCUUCGGGAACUCUGAGACAGGUGCUGCAUGGCUGUCGUCAGCUCGUGUUGUGAAAUGUUGGGUUAAGUCCCGCAACGAGCGCAACCCUUAUCCUUUGUUGCCAGCGGUUAGGCCGGGAACUCAAAGGAGACUGCCAGUGAUAAACUGGAGGAAGGUGGGGAUGACGUCAAGUCAUCAUGGCCCUUACGAGUAGGGCUACACACGUGCUACAAUGGCGCAUACAAAGAGAAGCGACCUCGCGAGAGCAAGCGGACCUCAUAAAGUGCGUCGUAGUCCGGAUUGGAGUCUGCAACUCGACUCCAUGAAGUCGGAAUCGCUAGUAAUCGUAGAUCAGAAUGCUACGGUGAAUACGUUCCCGGGCCUUGUACACACCGCCCGUCACACCAUGGGAGUGGGUUGCAAAAGAAGUAGGUAGCU
rnacentral:rRNA from 1 species